rnacentral:rRNA from 1 species
GACGAACGCUGGCGGCGGGCUUAACACAUGCAAGUCGAACGGAAAAGCCCUGCUUGUGCGGGGAGCUCGAGGGGCAAACGGGUGAGUAACACAUGAGUAACCUGCCCAGGACGCUGGGAUAACUGCAGGAAAGUGGUGCUAAUACCGGAGAGGAGCGCCUGCUACAGGGCGGGGGUCGGAAAGUAUGGGCGGUUGGGGGUGGACUCGCGGCUUAUCAGCUGGUUGGGUGGGUACGGGCUUACCAAAGCAUUGACGGGUAGCCGGCCUGGGAGGGUGGUCAGCCACAUUGGGACUGCGAUACGGCCCAGGGUCCUAUGGGGGGCAGCAGUGGGGAAUAUUACCCAACGGUGGGAAGUCUGUUGAAGAAACGCGCCGUUUGGGAUGACGGCCUUGGGGUUGUAAACCGCUUUAGCUUGUUACGAAGCUUAAGUGACGUUACCGGGAAAAGAAGCACCGGCUAACUACGUG